GCCAAAUCCAAAUCUCCUAAGAAACGAUCCAUUAUUGAGAUCUUUGCCGUCUCGCCGCAGAUUAAGAAGGUUGACGAUGAUGAUGAUAUAGAAGAUGAUGAUUUUCCUUAUUCUCAAGAUGAUGGUGAUUUGGAUGUUGUGAGGACAAAGCACGAUGAGCUGAAAAGAAAGAAUAUUAAAAUCCACAAGAAGAAGAUAAAGAUAGUAGCGAUUGCGAACAAGUUGACUGUGGACCAGAAGAAGAACAAAUUGAAGAAGAAGAAGAAGACUUUGUGUUGAACGAAGAAGAAGAAGAAGAAAUGGCAGUGUCAGGACCCGACCCAUUGUUCGGAUUGAGGAACAACUUCUACAUAGGUGCUUACCAAGCUGCAAUUAACAACAGUGAUGUACCAAAUCUCUCUCAGGAGGACGCUGUUGAAAGAGACACUCUUGUUUACCGAUCUUACAUUGCUCUUUCCAGUUAUCAGCUUGUGAUCAAUGAGAUCGAUGCAUCAGCUCCUACUCCUCUUCAAGCUGUCAAAUUGCUCGCUUUGUACCUUGCCAGCCCUAAUAAUAAGGAAGCAGCAAUCGCCGGUCUUCAUGAAUUAUUAGGAGAUCCAGCCAUAGGAAGCAACCCUAUACUGAGGCUUAUUGCUGGGAUUGUGUUCAUGCAUGAGCAGGAUUAUAAUGAAGCUCUGAAACACACAAAUGCUGGUGGAACAAUGGAACUGCAUGCUUUGAAUGUCCAGAUACUCAUUAAGAUGCAUAGAUCGGAUUAUGCAGAGAAACAGUUAAGAAUCAUGCAGCAAGUUGAUGAAGAUCAUACACUAACUCAACUUGCAAGUGCAUGGCUAAACUUGGCAGUGGGUGGUUCAAAAAUACAAGAAGCAUAUCUUAUUUACCAAGACUUCUCUGAGAAGUAUCAGAUGACUAGCUUAAUCCUGAAUGGGAAGGCUGUAUGUUGCAUGCACAUGGGUAACUUUGACGAAGCUGAGACACUGUUGCUUGAAGCCCUAAACAAGGACACAAAGGAUUCAGAGACGCUGGCCAAUUUGGUUGUCUGCAGUCUUCACCUUGGGAAACCAUCCACACGCUAUCUCAGCCAGUUGAAAAUAUCCAAUCCAGAUCACAUGCUUGUCGGACGUGCAGCUUCUGCUGAAGAAAUUUUUGACAGAGCAGUCCAAACUGUUGCUUGAAGAAUGAACCUUGUCAUGUUCUACUUCUGAUCCUUUAUAAUGGCCACCGUGAUUGUUGCGUGUCACUUUACCAUCCUACUAGAGAAAUGCAGCAAGCAAACGCAGUUAUAGUGGGAAUAUCGAAUGUUUCAUACAUAAUGCAGAAUACCUCUACUUAUUGACAGUCCUCUAUUACAUUUUUUGUUUCCAAUAAAGGGAAUACUCAAAGACUGGUAUACAUACAAGUAUAGAAGUUGCAGUUGUACUAGCGUGAUUUGGUCAACAACAUUCUUCAGAAAUCAUUUUAAGGUCACCCUUGGUGUUUCUGCUUCAGUUUAGUAGGAUAACGAAUUUUUCACAUUACCUAAUACUAUGUUUUUCUUGGAUAAUUUGUAGUUAUAGUUAAGGUUUUG
rnacentral:misc_RNA from 1 species